CACAGCUUCCCUCAAAGCUUCAUCAGCAUCCAUGUCAAAUUCUUCUAUGUUUUCUCUGACAACAGCGUCAAAGGUAUCCUGUGUGAUCCUCCUCGACAUUUUGCCUGUUAUUAAAUAAUGAUGUCAAAAUAUGACGGAGUUCAUUAGUUAAU